rnacentral:lncRNA from 1 species
CUUGGUUCCUCUCCCCAGUCCAGCGAGCAGAACUGAUUACAGAUCUUGACAACAGAAGAUACAGAUUUAAAAUAACUUGCCUGUUCCCGUGGACUUUAUCCACUAGUGGAGGAGGACAAGUGGACAAGGGGAGAGGGUAGGUGGGGGCUCCUUCCCUAUUCCUCCCAUUCCACUUUAUACAAACCCCAGCUAGACCACUGGGAGAGCAACGGAGGUUAAGAAUGACUGCAUCUAAAUAUUGUCAUCU